AUUGAACGCUGGCGGCCGGCCUAACACAUGCCAGUCGAGCGAGCGGCGGACGGGUGAGUAGUGCCUGGGAAUUGCCCAGUCGAGGGCGAUACCAGUUGGAAACGACUGCUAAUACCGCAUACGAUUGGAUUGCCCAGGUGGGAUUAGCUAGUUGGUGAGGUAAUGGCUCACCAAGGCGACGAUCCCUAGCUGGUCUGAGAGGAUGGUCAGCCACACGUGAACUGGGACACGGUCCAGACUCCUACGGGAGGCAGCAGUGGGGAGUAUUGCACAAUGUGGGAAACCCCGAUGCAGACAUGCCGCGUGUGUGAAGAAGGCCUUCGGGUUGGAAAGUACCUUCAGUGAGGAGGCGUUAUUCGCCGAAGAAGCACCGGCUAACUCCGUGGCAGCAGCCGCGGUAAUUC
rnacentral:rRNA from 1 species